rnacentral:rRNA from 1 species
GAUGAACGCUAGCGGCAGGCCUAACACAUGCGAGUCGAGGGGCAGCACAUGAUGAGUUUACUAUGAUGGUGGCGACCGGCGCACGGGGGCGUAACGCGUAUGCAACCUACCCGUAACUGGGGGAUAAUCCGAAGAAAUUUGGUCUAAUACCCCAUAAUACAUUGAAUGGCAUCAUUCGAUGUUGAAAAUUCCGAUGGUUACGGAUGGGCAUGCGUUGUAUUAGCUAGUUGGUGAGGUAACGGCUCACCAAGGCUACGAUACAUCGGGGAACUGCGAGGUUAAUCCCCCACGCGGGUACUGAGACACGGACCAGACUCCUACGGGAGGCAGCAGUGAGGAAUAUUGGUCAAUGGACGCAAGUCUGAACCGGCCAUGCCGCGUGCAGGAAGACGGCUCUAUGAGUUGUAAACUGCUUUUAUAUGAGGGUAAACCCAGGUACGUGUACCUGGCUGAAAGUAUCAUAAGAAUAAGGAUCGGCUAACUCCGUGCCAGCCGCCGCGGUAAUAC